CAAAUCAUUGUCCGUUAUGUGGACAAGGAAAAGUUGGACAGUCUCUGCAAAACUAAACAUUUCAUUCCGAUUCCCGAAACCUGCCUGCCAAUGGAGAUUUUAACGCGAUUUUAACGCGAUUGACGCGGUUAAAAAAAAAGAUGCUAUUGACAUUUGCGGUAUGUUUUCAAUCGUCUUGCUUCUCUUCUGCGAGAUUAUCUGCCGUUGGAUGGUAAAAUCAGCUCGUCUCUUUCAGAUAAGAAACGCCUUCGGCGAACUAGCUAGAAAAAAUAAUCAAAUAUUAAAUCUUGUCUCGACCUCAAGAAUUUAGAAAGCUCUAAAACCUUGAUAUUUUUAGGUCUACUUUUCGCUAACUGAAAAUGGAUUGAAGCAGCAGCGGUAGGAAGAGUGGUUUUGUUCUGUCUAAUUUAUGAAAAAAAUUCUGCUGUAGUAGGGUUUUGUGGUAUUUCUCCCGUACGCUCUGCCCAUUUUCCUCUCAUCGGCAUCGUUGACAGCACGGCACUAUCUGUGAAGAGUUUGGAGCCAAAUCAGGUGACACAAAUUUUACAGUAUGGGAGUUGCCAGCAGAUCUGAAGAUGGCGAUCCAUGCAAUGCUAUUAUUCUUCCUAGCAAUCAUAAAUCUAAGCAUAAAGAUAAAAUAAAGGUUGCUAAAGACAGGAAGAAAAUUCUCUUAUUGAGUAAGAAACAGCAAAGAAAAUUGAGAAGGCUGCAGGAGGAGAAGGUUAAAAGGGAAAGGCGAGCUACUGAUCUUGAUAUCUUGGAGAAGCACAAGAUUCAAGAUGAUGCACACGCUUUGUUAGGCUCAUCUGGUAAUCUUGGACAGGUUGAAACUAUGCGGGAGAAACUCUCUAGGGCUAUGCGCUUACAUAGAGCAGGAUUGUUAGUUCCUUCAGAUGUUCCACUUUUUCGUGAAAGAGAAACUGAUUCAAAUUUGAUGGAAACUAAGAAUUCAACUGAUGAUAGUUUGCCUGUUAAAUACAAUCCAAAUAAGAAUAUUCGGGAUGCUGGCAAAAUUCAACCAAAGAAAAGAAAACGGACUGCUUUGCACACAAUUGUAGAUGGAGAUCGAAAUGAUACAUUUGAGGAUGCAAGCAUGACAGCCACUAUUGAUAACCAAUUUAAGGCAAAAGAUAUGGUAACAAUACAGGGGCACAAUAUAGGGCAGAGUGACAUAAGUAUAAACUCUUGCGCAGAACCUGUUCUAUCUGAUUCUAGGAAUGGUUAUUUUAGUGGAGCUGAACUAGAAAAUUCCCAACCCUCUAAUAAACAGGGUUUGCUUGCUGCUGCUAAAAGUAUUCAACUGAAUACUAGUAGCAAAUCUUUGACAUGCUUGGAUUCAGUUGACCCUAUCGUACAAGGAGGUUCUGCUAGGAUAAAGUGUGAAGAUGGUAGCUCAGGAUGGAAGGUUGGGGUAAACAAGUCAUUUGAACUUACUAAAGAAAUAAAAUACCAGGUUUCAGAGGAGGAGAGAGUGAAGCUAGAUGCACAAGACAGUGGCAGGGCUUCUAAAGACUUAGGUUGGAAUCCUACAAGUAAUAGCUUUGUAGUUCAUGUUACAAGACCAGAGGAAGUUGAAGAAACAAGAAAAAAUCUUCCAAUCGUUAUGAUGGAGCAGGAAAUUAUGGAAGCUAUCAAUCAGCAUCCUGUUGUGAUUAUAUGUGGGGAGACUGGAUGCGGUAAAACUACUCAAGUUCCACAGUUUCUGCUUGAAGCCGGAUUUGGUUCAAGCAAGUGCAAAGCAAGGACAGGAAUCAUAGGUGUCACUCAGCCCCGACGUGUAGCAGUUCUUGCUACUUCCAAGAGAGUGGCUUAUGAAAUGUCGUUUCAGCUGGGAAAGGAAGUUGGAUUUCAAGUGCGGCACGAUCGAAGAAUAGGAGGGAACAGUUCCAUCAAGUUUAUGACUGAUGGAAUUUUGCUUCGUGAAGUGCAGUCUGAUUUUCUAUUGAGGAGCUACUCAGUCAUUGUGUUGGAUGAGGCUCACGAGAGGAGUUUGAAUACAGACAUCCUUAUUGGAAUACUUUCGCGAAUUGUACCUCUACGGCAGAAUUUAUAUGACGAACAACAGAAAAAAAUAUCUAGCGGAGAAAUAGUGAGUCCUGAAAACUUGGUUAACCCAUUGAAACUUGUUUUAAUGAGUGCAACGCUGAGGGUUGAGGAUUUUGUUUCAAAUACCAAGUUAUUUCCCGUAAUACCACCUGUAAUAGAAGUGCCUACGAGACAGUUUCCUGUGACCGUUCAUUUCUCUGCCAAGACAGAACUAGAUAAUUAUUUGGGAGAGGCUUAUAAAAAGGUUUUAGCUAUUCACAAGAAGUUGCCACCAGGUGGUAUACUAGUAUUUGUCACAGGGCAACGGGAGGUAGAAUUCCUGUGUAGGAAGCUGCGAAAAGCAUUUGGAAAGAGGAUUAAAAGCAAUGCCAAACCAGUGGGCAUCCCUCAGAUGACAAGGUCAAUUUCAGACGUAGAUAAUUUUGCAAAUCAAUCUGAUAUGGAGGAAAUUGCUGAAGCUGUAGAUACUGCUGAUGAAAAUGAGAUUUCGAACGGAGGAUUUAAUAGGUUUAAUACAUAUGAUGAUGAUGGCUUUGAUGAUAAGUUACAGGAAAAUUCAGAAUCUUCUGAAAUCGAAUUUGAUUCAGAUUCAGAGAGUGAAGAAGAGUUUCUUAAUGAUGAAAAUGACCACCUUGAUAAAACAUUGCAAAACACCAGCUUACUUAGAGAACCAGGAUGUGUGGAAUCGCUUAAAGCUGCUUUCGAAGCACUAAAUGGUGGUGACAAAAGUAAAAAAACUAAUGCAAAGUCAAACCAGCACAAUCUUUCAGAUGCUCAUAACAAAGAACAUGCAGACCAAAACAGUGCAGGAAACUUGAAAGAGCCAGGCCCUCUCUAUGUUUUACCUCUGUAUGCAAUGUUGUCCGCAGAGGCACAGUUACGUGUAUUUGCUGGAGUACCAGAAGGAGAAAGGCUUGUUGUGGUGGCCACUAAUGUUGCUGAAACUUCCUUAACAAUUCCGGGAAUUAAAUAUGUUGUUGAUACGGGUAGAGCAAAGUUCAAGGAAUAUUCAUGUUCAAGUGGAAUAGCAAAAUAUGAGAUUCAAUGGAUUAGCAAGGCUUCAGCUGCUCAGCGUGCUGGCAGAGCAGGAAGAACAGGACCGGGACGUUGUUAUCGCCUUUAUUCAUCUGCUGUUUUCAACAACACUUUACCAGAUUUUCCAUCACCUGAAAUAAGCACGGCUCCUAUUGAGGGUGUUGUUCUUAUUUUGAAAUACAUGGGUAUUAAUAAGGUUGCCAACUUCCCUUUCCCUACCCCGCCUGACAAGACAGCCUUAGUUGAUUCUGAACGGUGCUUGAACACCCUUGGAGCACUAGAUCAGACUACAGGAAGGCUGAUGCCAGUUGGAGAAGCAAUGUCAUUAUAUCCUAUUAGUCCUCGCCAUUCUCGUAUGCUUUUAACUGUAAUUCAGAUACUAAAGGAGAGGGAUGAAUGUGCUGGUGCAAGCUUGGUUCUGGCUUUUGCAAUGGCUGUUGCUGCGGCACUAAGUGUAGAUAAUCCUUUUCUCAUACAUUUUAGCUCGGUGGCUGGAAAAGAUACGAAAGAUAAGCAGAGGGGAAAGGAUACUGCUGUUGACAAAGAAACUGAAAAGCAAGAACACCUAGAAAUUAAGAAGCAACGUGCAAUGGCUAAAGCAGCCUAUAAAAUGUUUGAGAACAUAAGCAGCGAUGCUUUAACAGUUGCAAGUGCACUUCGUUCAUAUGAACUUGCAGAUAAUCCAGAACAGUUCUGCAGACUUAACUCUUUACAUCUGAAAACAAUGGAUGAAAUGUCUAAGCUUCGCAAGCAAUUGCUUCGGCUUGUCUUUAACCAAGAAAUGCAGAAAAAACAGAAAGAGGACUUUACUUGGACUUUUGGGAAUUUGGCAGAUGUAGAAUUUGCAUGGAGGGAAUCAAUUAAUAAAUCUCUUACGUCAACUCAAGAAGAUAUAUUGGGACAGGCAAUCUGUGCAGGUUGGGCGGACAGAGUUGCACGUCGUCUAAGACCAUUGGAAGGCCAACGGACAAGGGCGGUUAAAUAUCAAGCCUGUUUUGUGGAAGAAAUUGUUUUUCUGCAUUCCCUAUCAUCUGUUGCUAAACUGGCACCUGAGUUUGUUGCGUAUAAUGAUCUCAUUCAGACCAUAAGGCCUCACAUGAAUGAUGAGGCAAAGCCUUACAUGAAUGGUGUGACAUGUAUUAAGUCAACUUGGCUUGCCUUGCAUGCAAGAGCUCUCUGCACAUUUUCUAAACCAUUUGAAGAUCCUCGACCAUAUUAUGACUGCUUGUCAGAUCAGGUCUUUUGCUGGGUUUCUCCUACAUUUGGCCCACAUUUGUGGGAGCUUCCUCUUGACAGAUCUAUUAUGAAGAACAUAAAUCAUCGGACAGCAGUGUUUGCAUGUGCACUUCUUCAAGGAAAAGUUCUGCCAUGUUUGAAAGAAUUUCAACAAUUUCUGGCAGCUGAUCCCUCAAUGGUAUUGAAACCUGAGGCAAAAGCACACAAACGUGUCAGUGAUCUCCUUCACAGAUUGAGUGUGGGGCCUGUUGUUGAUAGUCGUAUCAAACUUAAAUCUGCUUGGGAUGCAGAUCAAAAGUUCUUGUAUGUUGAAAUAUUAGCAUGGAUACAAGGUAAAUUCCAUCAUCUUUUUGAUCAGCUAUGGAAGCAAAUGCAGCAUGAGUCCCAAUUGGACUGUAAACAACUAUUUCAUAAGAUAAUCAAGAAACUAAGCAGCAAAAAGGAAAUCAAAGACUGGUAGUUGAUUAAGUUGAAAAUACAUGUUCAACUAAUCCUUCAUUAAUGCAUAUCUGCAGAUAUGCUCCAUGAUAUCUCUGUCGGUGUAGCAAAAGCCCUUCUACAAUUUCUAAUUCCAACUUCCAUUGGCCACGACGUUGAACAAGGGAGAGCUUGAACUCCACUGAUGAAGCUACUCUGCCCAAAAAAUACCUCAGCAGAAAUACUCUUAGUCUUAGCUGCGAUCAUACUCCAUACGUAUUUUUCGAACUCAGACUUUCUUGCAGAGGAGCUUUCUUGUCUUGCUCUUGUUGGAGACUUAUGAAGGCUUUCCGAGCCUCGUCUAAAGGAGCCCAAAAUAUCGAGUCCUCAGUUAAGGAUGCAUAAUUUGAGCUGCCCCUUAUUUCUCCACCAGUGCGAGUUUGCUCUUUUUCUUUCAUCAAUUUCUCCAGAACUAUGUGACGAUGUGGACGGACCCCAUCUGAGUACUUUGCAAUGUCCAGAGGCUCUACAAGCCUUCUAUAUGCAGUGCCAGCAUUGAUCCAUUUAUUUGUGGUUCGGAAGUCACUGGGCAAUACAUGAUUCUCUUCCUGGCCAACAAUGUCAUCCCAGAAAUUUCCCAACUUUAUUCUGGCCAUAUCUACAUGAAAAUCGCUCGUCAGCUAACUGUCUGAAAGCAUCAUAAUAGCUGAUGUUGUUAUCUUACAAAGCAUUUUGUACUGUACCAGCUGUGCCAUAUGACUUUGCUUCUCGCUCAACUGCAUAUUGAAUUUCUCAAUGUUCAGGUCUUCUGAUUUUUCAGCUCUCCAGCAUUUUUGGAUUGAGAUAAGCCAAUGAGUAGGUCCCUUGUCAAACACCAAGUCACUAGAUCUAGCACUAGACGUGUCAUUCAUUGCCACAUCAACAAGAUACUUGUCAUUACACUA